GUGAAUCAUCAAAUUUUUGAACGCAAAUUGCACUCUCUGGCAUUCCGGAGAGUAUGCCUGUUUGAGGGUCAGUAUAAUCAAAAUCGGAGCGAUGCUUUUUGGGUGACGCACCGGAGUUUGGGUCAUCUUAACUCUUUUUUUUAGAGAACUAAAAUUAACAUUUUUUUUUGCCUACCUUUGAGGAGGAAAUUA
rnacentral:misc_RNA from 1 species